rnacentral:rRNA from 1 species
AGCGAACGCUGGCGGCAGGCCUAACACAUGCAAGUCGAGCGGCCCUUCGGGGCAGCGGCGGACGGGUGAGUAACGCGUGGGGACGUGCCCUUUGGUACGGAACAACUGAGGGAAACUUCAGCUAAUACCGUAUGUGCCCUACGGGGGAAAGAUUUAUCGCCAUUGGAGCGGCCCGCGUUAGAUUAGCUAGUUGGUAGGGUAAUGGCCUACCAAGGCGACGAUCUAUAGCUGGUCUGAGAGGAUGAUCAGCCACACUGGGACUGAGACACGGCCCAGACUCCUACGGGAGGCAGCAGUGGGGAAUCUUGCGCAAUGGGCGAAAGCCUGACGCAGCCAUGCCGCGUGAAUGAUGAAGGUCUUAGGAUUGUAAAAUUCUUUCACCGGGGACGAUAUGACGGUACCCGGAGAAGAAGCCCCGGCUAACUUCGUGCCAGCCGCCGCCGUAAGAC